AGUACUUGUCAAAGUUUACCAUACUUUAAAUAAUAAUGCCUUGACUUAUCAUUGAAUGAAAAUGAAACGGUUUUAUAAAAGCUUUGGUCACGAGGUUACAACUUAGUGAUUUAAUUGGGCAUGACUUUUCUGCAUAUAAUUACUGGUACGCUUAUGGGAAUUAUGUAAGAUGAUGUAUAUUUUGUUUCAAAAUAUUGAAGAUAAAAGAAGCUAAAGUAUCCUUUCGCUUGACCAAAGAAAGGGACGUUUUUGUCCUAAGCUUCUCCAUUUUAUGGCUAUACGAUUGAAUAUGAAAAGUAUAUACGCGCGAUAGAGAUUCAUUGCGUUGAAAUGAACCAAGUAAAAAAGAAAAGAAAUCUGUUUUUUAAUUCAUAGCACCACGGUCCAUGCUUCGCAAAACAUCAAACUGUGUCCAUCUAACUGCACUCAGUGGUACGUAGAAAGUGCAUAAAUAUGUAUGUCAAUUCCGCUUACAAAACUGCUGAUCCUUGACCAACGCGGUUCUGUAGGUAAAAGCGGAGUUCCCUUGAAAAAUGCAGCUUUUCCUAAUUGGUACAACCUUACGGAGAACGUGCAAACCAACUGCAAAUGCUCUUACGAACACAAAAGAGAAUCGCAUGACGGAUCAGUCCGACAUCUCAAGGAGACAACUUUCCGAUUAGUCCCUCUCCAUCGUCUACGUAAUCUGCUCAAUCUGCGGUGGGCAACGUGCGGUCUUAUCAUCGUUACGCCACGCAGUUCUCCGUGCUAAGGAAAAUUGUACGUGAAUGACACGAUGGAUUUCGAGGAAAAAGCAAAUACGCUACUAAUGACUCGACUAGAUAUACUCGUUGAUCGAGAAAUCAUAAUUUCACUCGACCGAUAAUACGAUUAUCAAGCGUAUGGAUUUUCUUCGCUACAGUUUUCUGCAUUAAUUUCGUUACCUGUUACUAUAUGGUAUGCUCGUUUUCUUGGAAAAAUAAUAAAGGUAAAAAGUUUAACAUCUUCAGUCUUCGUGGAUACAAAUAUGUAAUAUGAUCAAAUAUAUAUACAUUUACUAUAUAUUACUCUUUCUAAUACACACUAGGGAAAAUAAACUAAUCAACGGGAAAACUUAAAACAAUAAUCGGAAUGGAUGUACCGUUAUGCUCUUAUUCACGCGAGUAUCAAUUCACGACUGCUUAAAAUUUAGUAAUCCUUAUCUCAUAGAUAUCAAUAUACUUGACGUAUGUUUGUCUUAUUACCCAUAUACUUAAUUGUUCUAUGGAUUUGAAGCGAAUAAAAUAUGUACAUAUAAA